rnacentral:lncRNA from 1 species
GGCUACUACCCGCGCGCGGUCGCCGCCUCCCCAGGUGCAGCCCCGCCAGUCCCAGCCCCCGGCUGCGCCGGGCGAGCGGCAUCAUCAGAUUUAGGGUGACCCGGAGCGACCUCGGUCCAGGCUCGGAGGGAGAGGCGCCUCUCAGGACCUGGCAGGUUGACAGGGAAGGGGAACCGGGAGGGAGCGGCGGCCGGGGCGGCCUGGAGUCUCGGAGGCCCGCCUGCGUCCUGGGGGGACCCGACCUCCGCGCUCGCUCCGGAGCGCCCGUUUGGAUAGCUCUGAGCCUCGGCGGGGUGAGCGAGGGGGCACACGAGGGAGACUUGAGCUGUGUUGUUUUUAGAAAACUGCCGCCAAUCUCUCUUCCCCUUUCCCUGCUGAGUGUGCAUUUUCCAGCCUAGACCCGCCAGGCCAGCAAAUAAAGCCACCGGAUCGUGCACUCCGGAGCGACUGCCCCCACCCCGACCUUGUCUUUCCCGAAGGGAAUGGCUCCUCCGGCGCCUCAACGCACAGAAAACGCCUGCCUCCAGCUGAGCGCUUUUGCCAGCUUUCUCCAACCAGUGAAUAAGGGAUGCACUAUGGACUCAGAAGGAAAUGUCAUAUUUAAGUUCUGCCUCUGAUUUCUCUGCUCUUAGCUGAUCUAAGGUUUUUCUAGACUCCUUAGUUUCCACUCACAGUGCUGGGUAAUGGAGCCCUACCGCACUGAUUGAGAAUUGCCGGCCAGUGGGUUGGUACAGAGCAAAUUGUCCUUGCUAACAACCUUUUUCCUUUGCUGUUGGAUUCCACUAAGUGGUGAGAGGGGUCAGUUUUAGAUUUUUGCAAUUCCCCAGCGUGGAGACAGGCCGGCUCUAUACGAGAAUAAGUGAUAGGCAGAGGAAGAAUUUGGCAGUGUUCCCGGGUUGAUUUUAUUUUGGUCUCUUGAACACAUUAUUCUUCCUGAUAGAACAAAUCCCUGGACUUGGUAGGACCCAGUUCCAGGGAAGGGAAGAGUCCUCUACCGCACCCCCAGAACGCCCUGCAGAGGCUGUGAGUGGGCAAAGCCCAGUUUCCUGGACUCCCACUUAGGAGGUGCUGCAGAAAUAAGGCCUUCAGCUGGGGCUCCCUGAGUCGGAUUGGAACCGUGGCCCAUCAGUAAGAGUAGACUGGAUGGUAACUGCUCGAUUCCUUUCAUCAAGCUCUCAUCCCUUUGUCAGAAAUAGAUGAAAUCGAUUGCUCCCAGAAGGCCAUUUGAGCCACUAACUCCCUCAAAGUACUUCAGAUUCAUGCAAUAUGGAGAUUCGGGUUGGUAGUUCAAACUGCAUCAUAUCUAGUCAAGUUUUUUGAAAACAUCAAACCCAUAAAUUUCAGAAAAGCAAUACAAGCUCCAUAUUUUUAGUAGGAGCUAACCUAGUUUUGAGAUGUAUGAAUAGAUGAAGUGAAACUGGAAAAACAUUAAAAGUUGGAAUUUUAAUUAACUAAUGUUUAAAAUAAGCCUAUUAGUGGUUAUUCUGUCAAGUGACUGUGUCAUGCAAGAGGUGUCAUCUGGGCCUCAUUUUUGGCCAUCUCCUUGAUUUGUACUGACAGAGAAGGAAGGAAAUAAACAAAUGAAUCUUCACUUUCUGAUUCUACCUUUUUAGCCUUUUAAAAGUUACCUUGAAAAUUCCUCAAAUAUUGGAGAAACGACUACCAACUAAAACGUUAACACAAAGUUACAAUGUGAAGUUUUUGUGAUACAGUAUAUUUACUAACCAACAAGAUGAAGAAAGAUAAUGCUAAAUUUUGAAUCACACUAGAUUCAAAACAUUUGCUAGAGUAGAGGUUACAGCC